CCUACGGGUGGCAGCAGUAGGGAAUGUUCGUCAAUGGGCGCAAGCCUGAACGAGCAAUGCCGCGUGAACGAGGAAGGUCUUCGGAUCGUAAAGUUCUGUUGAAGGGGAAAAAGAGCGGAGAGAGGAAAUGGUCUCCGAUUGAUAUUACCCUUCGAGGAAGGCACGGCUAACGACGUGCCAGCAGCCGCGGUAAUACGUAGGUGGCGAGCGUUAUCCGGAAUGAUUGUGCGUAACGGGUGCGUAGGCGGCCUGCUAAGUCUGGAGUAAAAGGUCCCGGCUCAACCGGUACAGGCUCUGGAAACUGGCGGGCUAGCGCUCCGUAGAGGGCGGUGGAACUCCAUGUGUAGCGGUUAACUGCUUAGAUAUAUGGAAGAACACCAGUGGCGAAGGCGGCCGCCUGGCCUGUUACUGACGCUGAGGCACGAAAGCGUGGGGAGCAAAUAGGAUUAGAUACCCGAGUAGUC
rnacentral:rRNA from 1 species